UACGGAGGGUGCGAGCGUUGUCCGGAAUCAUUGGGCGUAAAGGGCGCGUAGGUGGCCCGGUCAGUCUUUGGUGAAAGCGCGGGGCUCAACCCUGCGUCGGCCAGGGAUACUGCCGCGGCUCGAGCACUGUAGAGGCAGGUGGAAUUCCGGGUGUAGUGGUGAAAUGCGUAGAGAUCCGGAGGAACCCCAGAGGCGAAGGCGGCGUCCUGGCUCGCAUCUGACGCUCAGACACGACAGCAUGGGGAGCGAACGGG
rnacentral:rRNA from 1 species